UAUCUCCGGCGAACUGAUUGAGAGUUGUGGUGGAACCACGUGCCAGUGCGCAUCCACGAAGGCGCAGGUCAAAACAAACGGCGCUUCGGCCGCCGGUGGUUGGUGCUACCGGGCAGAAGCUGAAUUUUCCAGCAUCAACAAGUGAAAUGUCCUUUCCGGGGAUGGGACUGCUUAGUCUACUGAUGGCACGGAACGACCAAAGUUCAGUGUCACGCUUGCUUCCGCCCGGUUCGGAUGUGUUGUCUGAUCUCGCCUGGAAUUCGGUUAAACUGGCGUUUUAACAGUUUGGAUGGAAACAGUCUGCCUAGCUGAAGGGAAUAUAAGUGUAUCGGUUCUGAAUGUAAUACGGUUACAACAGGAAAACCUAAUUGUGUGGUCGUGAUUGAUAUAUGCGAUUGUGCUAACUGUGGAAAACGAAGGCUUACGGAGGAUAAACCGGAAAAUCUUGGAUUACGGAGUGAACGCGUUGAUUGAAUUCGGCUAUGAUGAAGCAUGAUAUCAGCACUCUUAUUGGGCUGUCGUUCAGGACAUGCAAUGAAUUUCAUUGAAAUUUUGUCUCGUGGAGUUAAUGGAUAAAUUAAACAAGAAGAGUGUAUUGUAUAUACCCCCCCGGAAUUUCACAAUCUUGUGCCAUUUAUGAUCACAUCGAAAGGAUGUAUCCGCGUUCGGUGAAAAGUGUGGAGGUUUAUUGCAACAUGAUCCUUUAAUGGAAUACCGUGUCAAGAGGAUCCUUUCAACGUGUGAAUGAGUGCCAUCGUGAUAUAUUAAAUUUCUCAUCUGCAAAGUGAAUUAUAUUAACUUCUUGUUUCGUUGAUGCUGGGAUGGUACAAGUGAUGCCAAGUUUGAAUGAAGUCAUAAAAAUAGCUCAUUACAUUAUUCAACACGGUUUUUAAGCAUCCUAGUGGAAGAUUAUUAGAACAUCUCGAUAGAUUCAGUUAAACUCUUGUAAAGUGCUUCGGACUUGUUGCAAACGGUAUGCAAAGAAAAAUCAACAAAUCCGGUUGUCAUCGAUUAUAACAUGUGUCGAAAAUAGAAAAACAUAUUCAAUCCCAUCCACCAUGUACGGAGAGCAUGAAAUGAAAAUUUCAAUCAUCUCGUGUGUUGUUUGUGUGUGAUGUGCUGAGAAGAAAAAAAAAUCCCAGAAGAAACAAGUGAAUCGAAAAAGUUCCACGCGUGGCUGCAGAAGCCAGAUAAGUUCGACUGCCCCCCCCCCCCCCCCCCCACCAGUUAACCAAUCGGCCAAAGUCCAAGGGUGGCCCGCCAGCCAUGGACGUGGUCCUGACCAGGCUGAACAUCAGCUUUGAUAAUGUAACGCUCAGCACCAGCACCAUCCGGCAGGGGCUCAUCGAAGAGUACAGCAACAACAGGAAGGUCGGCGAGCCUGCCUAUCACAUAUUGAUUGUCCUGUACAGCAUACUGAUCAUAUUCGGCGCCACCGGCAACAGUUUGGUGGUGAUGGCCGUGGCCCGGAAACCGCAGAUGCGAACAGCGCGCAACAUGUUCAUCGUUAAUUUGGCCGUUUCGGAUUUACUGCUGUGCCUGGUUACGAUGCCGCUGACGCUGGUGGAAAUUCUCACCAAAUAUUGGCCCAUGGGUCGGUUGCCGUUCCUGUGCAAAUCGAUUGGCACCCUUCAGGCCACCAGCAUCUUCGUGUCGACCAUCUCCAUCACGGCCAUCGCCCUGGACCGGUAUCAAGUAAUUGUCUACCCCACACGUGACAGUCUCCAGCGGAUGGGUGCCAUUGUGAUACUAACAGGCAUCUGGAUAUUCUCACUGGUGCUGGCCUCGCCGAUGUUCAUCACCAGGCGGCUCAUUCACUAUGACGUCAACUUGGCCAGCCUCGGGAUCGAGUACAUCUCGUACUGCAUCGAAGACUGGCCGAUGGCACGCGGUCGGGUGUACUAUUCGGUGUUCACGCUGUGCGUCCAGUAUCUCCUGCCAAUUCUGAUAGUGUCGAUAGCUUAUCUACGAAUUUAUCUCAAGCUAAAGCACCGUCUGGUGGUGACUACCACCACCGUGAGCACCAACGUCAACUCGAAGGACUCACAACCCGUUCGGGAACGGGAACGAGGUCGGCGGAUGCAACGAACCAACUACUUACUGAUAAGUAUAGCCUUAAUCUUCGGAAUCUCGUGGCUUCCAUUGAACCUGUUCAACCUGUUCGCCGACCUGUACCUCAGUGGGAUCACCCAGGAGAUCAUGGUGGCGUACGCCAUCUGCCACAUGAUGGGCAUGAGCUCGGCCUGUUCCAAUCCGCUGCUCUACGGUUGGCUCAACGAUAACUUUCGUAAGGAGUUUAACGAAAUCCUCUGCCGAAAGGAGUCUAGCACACUCGUUGCGAACGGGGCCGGCGGAGGCAAAACCAUCUCGCGAAAGAUUCGAACUACGGGAGCCGCUCCGGAAGUAACGCAGGUGGGCGUCUUGUGUCGACAAACGACCACAACCUCAACCGUAGUAGACUCGGGUGAUCAAACCGAGCUCACCGAGCUCAUGCCGUGAUUGGUCGAGUAGUAGAGUGCGUGCACACAUACGUUUGUCCCCAAUUGUUAGAAGUUCUGCUAGCACUGCAACUACAGUUACUACCGCUACUACCCAGCUACCAGUUGGACCAAGCACAACCCAAACUGGAACGAAAACUCGGAUGAACCGUUGGACGAACAACAGGACCGGAUGAAGCUGUGCAACGGUGACGAGGACAGCGUUCGAGAGGGAGACUGUGUGUAAUGUGCAUGCACAAGCAAGUAAUGCUGCUCCGUGUCGUUGAAGUUGAUACUCGGCGCCAGAAGCAAAUUCAGGGAAACGUGUUUUCCGCGAAUAAACUGAUUAGUGUAAUGGAGUGAAGUAGCUGUGCACACUUGUACUAUGCCCCGAAGCGUUGAACGCCAAUGUGGAAGAUUAUUGCGAUUCAUUCACUAUGUCUCCAGUGUACUUUCUAAGAUACCAGUCGCGGUCCAGUCGUAUGCUGCAGUGUCGCACAACAUAUGCGGUGAGAUGCGGUAAGCCAGUUGCGCCUGAAAGUAUGUAACGAACGAAACAAAAUGGUGAGUAUGGAGAAUGCGUCGAAGGUGGUUGAUCAGCAUUAGGUAUCUGAAAGGCGAUUGCGAAAAAUUAAAAUCAUAGCUACUAUGACGAAAAAUGAUUGAGCCGGUAUAAUUUUAAGAAACGCGGUCUGUAGGCUGGGAAAAGUGAGAUUAGGUGCGAGAAAUUGUUUGCGACUGGAACAGCGAAGCGAAAUCUUUUGUGUGUUACAGAAAUUACUCCAGGAUCAGGUCUUAAAAUCUACCCGUUUUUUUCAGAAACUACUCUUGCGAUUUAUUUUGAAAUUCUUUCAGGGAAUCUUUAAGAAAUUUCUCCAGUUAUUCAGAUAUUUCAUACUCCUUGAAGAAUUUUUCCAAAAAUUUCCCUAAGAUUAUGAAUUUCAAAUAACUCAACGUACAUAUGUACAAAUGGGUAAAUUAUUGGUUAAAUUGGGAAAAAAUCCACAGCUCAGGUGAGAUUUGAACUCACGAUCCUUAUUCGCUAGACAAGUGCUUUACCAACUAAGCUACCAAGCCAAAUUAAGUGAGUCGUUUUCGAGCAUCUACCUCUACGUAGUUAUCCGUCGUAUCAAAUAGAAUGCGAACGACGCGUUUGAUCGCCCUACAGGUAGCAUUGUUCUUCCUCUACAAGUGGUUGAGGUAGCGGUGCCUGUACGAUAGGCAAACAGUUUCAAACAAUAAACAAAUCGCUUUCGCUCUUCGUACAUAUGUACGACAGAGAUGGUUAUAUUUGCGGUUUAGGGGAAGAUGAUAUAGAUCGAUGAGAUUAGAAUUGAACCUUAUGACAACUAAGUUGCCGGGUCAUUAACCCUAAAAGGAAUACCUUCAUGGCCUCAGUUUCGUCAGCUCGCUGAGUGUGUUCCAUCAAAGACGAGCUCUGAAAGGCGCCUGGGGUCCAAUGGACCCCAGGUAUCCCUUUUAGGGUUAAUUGGCUCGGUAGCUUAGUUGGUAAAGCACUUGUCUAGCGAAUAAGGGCCGUGAGUUCAAAUCUCACCUGAGCUGUGGAUUCUUUCCCAAUUUAACCAAUAAUUUACCCAUCUGUACAUAUGUACGUUGAGUUAUUUGAAAUUCAUAAUUGACCACACGGAUUGGUAUUACCGAAAAUUUGCACUUUAAGUGAGUUCCCUAAGAUUGUUUUAGGAAGAUUUUCAUGGGUUCCUUCUGAAAAACCACCAAUUGUUACUACUGGUUACUUUUGAUGAGCAUUACAAAUCUAUUGAUUUCUCAUUCUCAAAGACAAGGCUGAAACAAUGCUUUUGAACUUUACUUCGGCCAAAUGAUUUACAGAAAACAAAUGACAGUAGUGUAAACUAUAAUGCAAUACCAGAUGUAGUAAUAGAGAUAGAGAAGAGAAUGAUUGAAGCGAAAAAUAUGCGCCUUCUGAUUGGCCGACUCAGUGGAAAGCUAGAAUGAACAACAAAAGCGAACAUACAAAAAGAGCUGCGCAUCGUGGAUUCAAUUCAGUUGAUAGACGAUAGUGGAUACGAACGGACGCACCAAAAGGCAGCAGCAAUGGCAUUUGUAGUACACAGCAGUCCACCACAGAGAGGUUUUAAAGAGUUUCCUCUCUGCGGUCGGUGUUGUGGCUGUAAGAAUAGCUGCAGCGGUCACGACACCAGAAUGUCUAUAAUUUUACAUAUUUUUUAUGAACUAACGGUUUAAAUGAACUAACUUUUAUUAUAAUAUGUAAACGAUCUACAAAAUAUGAUUGAUGACAAUAAAUAAAUUUAUUUUUUUUCUUAAAAUUCGUUCAGCAAAUUUAUAGGCACAGACAAACAGACGUAACACUUCGAACAUUUUUCGAUUCAAAUCAUAGUCACGGAAACAUAUUCGCCCAAUGCUAAAAUGACUAUGUUUGGCCGACCACCAACUAGGUGGCGGUAGUGAGCAAACGUCAAACUCGAACAAAAACUAUGCGAGCGCCACGGUUGGCAGUUGAAAAAGACCGUUAAAUCGGUGUACGGUGGGAAUUAACAGAGUGUUACGUCUGUUUGUCUGUGUUAUAGGUUUUUUCAGAAUUUUAUGCUCGGGUUCCUUCAAUAAUUCAUUCAAAAAUUCUUUCAUAAAAUCUUCCAGUGUUUUUUUUUUCAAGAAAAUUGUUGAAACCAGAGAAUGAACUAAUCAGAGUGGCACCUCAAAUCUGCGUGGGAAUCGGAUAGGAACACGGAAUAACCGGAGAACUGUUUCUCUAUGCGUGUUUACAUUAAUGGUUUGGUUUAUUACUAAAAAUACACUUGAGGAAAAAGUCAAAUGGAAACUGCUUGAUUUUUCUGAUCGAUAUGGUCCAGUGCGUCAGCGCCCUGUGGCUGGAAACACCAACAAAAAUCUUCAAGCAGAAAUUCGUUUAGGUUUUUCUCCAAGAAGUCCACCAGAAAUUUGAUCAGGAAUCAUUUUCUAGAGAUUCCAUUCAAAAUUCCCACAGGAAUGUGUCCAGGAUUUGUUUACAAGGAUUCAUCCAGAAAAUCCUUCAGGAUUUUCUCCUGAGAUUCUUGCAUUAUUACUUUAGGUGAUUCAGGCAGAAAUUUCCCCAGAGAUUUUUGCAGGAGUUCAAACAGAGAUUCCUUCGGGAUUUCCUUGAAAAUCUAAAAAAAUCUUCGUCGUUUUCUUUAAAGAUAACUUAAAUAUUUAUUUUCGCAGAUUCUUUCAAUUAUUAUUCAAAAAUAUGUCCUCGUUAUUUCCACAGGAAUUGCUUUGAAAAUAUUCCAAAAAAUUUAAAGGAUCUUUAAUGAAGCUUAUCCAUUUGUUUUUCUAGGUAUUCCUUGAGAAAUACGGCCAAAAAUUGCUCCAGAAAUAUUCUCAGAAAAGCUUCCAGGAAUUUUAUUCAAUGAGAUCUCGAGGAAUUUUCCUAAAAAAUCCCUAACAAACUUUUCCUAGGAAUUUAUGUAGGCAUUUCUCUAGGAAGUUCUUAAGAAAUUCCUAUUGGGAAUCCUUUCUCUGUUUUUUUUUUCAGACACUUUUCUAGAUGAGCAUUCAAAAUUACUUCCUGAGAUUUCUACAGGGUUUUCAAUACAGAUUCCUUCAUAAAUUAUGUUCAAGAUUUUUUGUGUAAAUACCUGCUCUGACUCCUUCCAAAAUUAAUAUGUACAAGGAUUCUUUCAAAUAGUUCUCCAGAGACUUUUCCAAAUUUUAGGAAUUUCUUUAGGAAUUGCAGCAAGGUAUUUCUUCACAAAUUCUUCCAUAAUCUUUUUUGAAAUGUCUUCUUAAAAUUUCUAUACAAAAUCCAAAGAGAUUCCUUUUUUCAAGCGUUCCUCCACAAAUUCGUUGAAAAAUUACGUCAAUUUUUUUGCGGUUCCGUCAAAAUUAGCACCAGCAGAUUCCAGCAGGAUUUCGUUUGGGGAUUUUUUCAAAACUUCUCUCAGAAAUUGCACUUCCCAUACCUAAUACGUGGCUCGUCGCAAAAUCAGAGACCCUCUCCUCACCCCUAAAAUGCAACCUCAUUAUUGGACGGUCCCUAAAUGAAUUGGAGAACCCUUUGCAGGUAGUGGAAGAAGAAAUUCUUGGAAAAUUUCUUGAAAAAUGCGGAGGAAUAGAUUCUGUAGUAAUUUCUGCAAAGAAUCUUUGGAGAAAUUCCUGAAGCAUCACCGGAAAUAAAAUCAGAACAAAUCCCUGCAGGUCUGAAUGUUCCGAAUAAAUCAUAAGCAAUCCUUGAAGGAAUAUCUGGAGGAACAUCCAGAAGAACCUCUUGUCAAUUUGCCAGAGGAAUUUCUAAAUCAAUGCUUGAGAGAAUAUCAGAGUAUGUGUAGUGAAACCUGAAGAAACCUUUGGAGAAAUUUCAACAAUUAUUUAUGGAAGAGCUCCUAAAGAAAAUCCCUAGAGGAAUUUAUCAAAGAAUACUUCAAAUCUCUGUGAAAAAAAAUGCUCCUGGAAUUAAAUCUUUUGAAGAAAUCUUUGACUGAAUUACCGUAAACCGGGGUCAAAUUGAUCAUUCGGGUACUACAUUGUAAUUCCAUACUAGGAACUCUUAAGCGUCGUAAUGAUCUUAAAAUUUUUACGUCAUCUGGUUCGUAGAUGUCUAGAGAUGAGUGUAGGUUUUACAGAAAUUUUUCUGGCAAUAUUUGAAUUGGCAAUGAUGUUAUCCGCAAAAGUUGUUUUAAAGUGAUCAAUUUGACCCCGGAUUACGGUACUGGAGAAACCCCUGGAGAAAUACUUAAGAAAAACCUCUGAUAUAGACACCGAAAAUAUUUCUGGAGCUGGAAUUGCUUGAAUCGUUUGAAAAAAUGCUUGAAGGAAUACACUCACGAAAUUCUGUAGAAAUCCUUCAAGGUGUUUACUCAAGAAUCCAUGAAGAAGUUUCAAGAGGAAGUUUUAGAGAAACUCGUGGACUCGUGUCAAGAUGAAUCUUUUGGGAAGUUUUUUGAGACACUCUUAAAAAACCAAGGAAUAUUCCUGGUAAAAUGUUCGAAAGAUUAUCUAGGAUCCCUGAAGAAAUGCUGAAAGAAAUAUAUGAACAGGAAUGCAUUUUAAAGAGAUUGUAGGAGCAAUCUUUGAAGUUGCUUUGAAGUCUGCCGAAUUCUCCAGAUUUAAAGCUUUCUGGAACUUUUUCAAGAUUAUAUUCGCGAUGUUUAGAACAAUUUAAAUAAAUAGGAGAAUAUUGGGUUGGUUUUGGAAUUACAUACAUUGGUAAAAUUAGUGAAAAACUUUUAACCUCAUUUACCCGAAAAUGGUUUUUUGUCACUUACACCUCUUUGCUUCUAACUCCCUCGAUUAGUUCUAGGAAAUCCUGCACGAUUUUGAUUAAUCCUGUAAGCAUCCCCAAAGGAAUUAUUGGUCAUGUCCCAACAGAUUAGGCUGGAACAAUUCCCAUUUUCUUCUUUUGUCACGUUGCUCGUUGACUCGUCAUGC